rnacentral:rRNA from 1 species
UACGUAGGGUGCGAGCGUUGUCCGGAAUUACUGGGCGUAAAGAGCUCGUAGGUGGUUUGUCGCGUUGUUCGUGAAAACUCACAACUCAAUUGUGGGCGUGCGGGCGAUACGGGCAGACUGGAGUACUGCAGGGGAGACUGGAAUUCCUGGUGUAGCGGUGGAAUGCGCAGAUAUCAGGAGGAACACCGGUGGCGAAGGCGGGUCUCUGGGCAGUAACUGACGCUGAGGGGCGAAAGCGUGGGGAGCGAACAGG